UAGGGAAUCUUCGGCAAUGGACGGAAGUCUGACCGAGCAACGCCGCGUGAGUGAAGAAGGUUUUCGGAUCGUAAAGCUCUGUUGUUAGAGAAGAACGUUGGUAGGAGUGGAAAAUCUACCAAGUGACGGUAACUAACCAGAAAGGGACGGCUAACUACGUGCCAGCAGCCGCGGUAAUACGUAGGUCCCGAGCGUUUUCCGGAUUUAUUUGGCGUAAAGCGAGCGCAGGCGGUUCGUUAAGUCUGAAGUUAAAGGCAGUGGCUUAACGAUUGUACGAUUUGGAAACUGGAGGACUUGAGUGCAGAAGGGGAGAGGUGAAUUACAUGUGUAGCGGUGAAAUGCGUGGAUAUAUGGUGGAACACCGGUAGCGAAAGCCGCUCUCUGGUCUGUAUCUGACGCUGAGGCUCGAAAGCGUGGGGAGCAAACAGG
rnacentral:rRNA from 1 species